rnacentral:rRNA from 1 species
UACGAAGGGGGCUAGCGUUGCUCGGAAUCACUGGGCGUAAAGGGUGCGUAGGCGGGUCUUUAAGUCAGGGGUGAAAUCCUGGAGCUCAACUCCAGAACUGCCUUUGAUACUGAGGAUCUUGAGUCCGGGAGAGGUGAGUGGAACUGCGAGUGUAGAGGUGAAAUUCGUAGAUAUUCGCAAGAACACCAGUGGCGAAGGCGGCUCACUGGCCCGGUACUGACGCUUAGGC